rnacentral:rRNA from 1 species
GACGAACGCUGGCGGCGUGCUUAACAUAUGCAAGUCGAACGGAAAGGCCCUGCUUUUGUGGGGUGCUCGAGUGGCGAACGGGUGAGUAACACGUGAGUAACCUGCCCUUGACUUUGGGAUAACUUCAGGAAACUGGGGCUAUACCGGAUAGGAGCUCCUGCUGCAUGGUGGGGGUUGGAAAGUUUCGGCGGUUGGGGAUGGACUCGCGGCUUAUCAGCUUGUUGGUGGGGUAGUGGCUUACCAAGGCUUUGACGGGUAGCCGGCCUGAGAGGGUGACCGGCCACAUUGGGACUGAGAUACGGCCCAGACUCCUACGGGAGGCAGCAGUGGGGAAUAUUGCACAAUGGGCGGAAGCCUGAUGCAGCAACGCCGCGUGCGGGAUGACGGCCUUCGGGUUGUAAACCGCUUUCGCCUGUGACGAAGCGUGAGUGACGGUAAUGGGUAAAGAAGCACCGGCUAACUACGUG